GAUGAACGCUGGCGGCGUGCCUAAUACAUGCAAGUCGAGCGAACAGAUGAGGAGCUUGCUCCCCUGACGUUAGCGGCGGACGGGUGAGUAACACGUGGAUAACCUACCUAUAAGACUGGGAUAACUUCGGGAAACCGGAGCUAAUACCGGAUAAUAUAUUGAACCGCAUGGUUCAAUAGUGAAAGACGGUUUUGCUGUCACUUAUAGAUGAAUCCGCGCCGCAUUAGCUAGUUGGUAAGGUAACGGCUUACCAAGGCAACGAUGCGUAGCCGACCUGAGAGGGUGAUCGGCCACACUGGAACUGAGACACGGUCCAGACUCCUACGGGAGGCAGCAGUAGGGAAUCUUCCGCAAUGGGCGAAAGCCUGACGGAGCAACGCCGCGUGAGUGAUGAAGGUCUUCGGAUCGUAAAACUCUGUUAUUAGGGAAGAACAAAUGUGUAAGUAACUAUGCACGUCUUGACGGUACCUAAUCAGAAAGCCACGGCUAACUACGUG
rnacentral:rRNA from 1 species